AUUGAACGCUGGCGGCAUGCCUUACACAUGCAAGUCGAACGGUAACGGGCCUUCGGGUGCCGACGAGUGGCGAACGGGUGAGUAAUGCAUCGGAACGUACCUUUCAGUGGGGGAUAACGUAGCGAAAGUUACGCUAAUACCGCAUAUUCUGUGAGCAGGAAAGCAGGGGAUCGCAAGACCUUACGCUGAUUGAGCGGCCGAUGUCAGAUUAGCUAGUUGGUGAGGUAAAGGCUCACCAAGGCGACGAUCUGUAGCGGGUCUGAGAGGAUGAUCCGCCACACUGGAACUGAGACACGGUCCAGACUCCUACGGGAGGCAGCAGUGGGGAAUUUUGGACAAUGGGGGGCGAACCCUGAUCCAGCCAUGCCGCGUGAGUGAAGAAGGCCUCGG
rnacentral:rRNA from 1 species